GCUGCGUGCGUUGAGGCCUUGCUCAUUGGUCAAUCAUCGCUCAUUUGUGGGAAGUAGAGAGUUUCACUUGCUGGCAUCACAUCUGCAAAUAAGCCGCAUUUAUUGGAUUCAGAUGCUUGGGCCUACGCUAUUUCAAUGAUCACCAUUUUCACGCAGUGAAGCACAGACACUGUUGAGGGAAUCUGGAAACAACAUAGAUCCCACGGCCUGCUGUAGCUGAGCAAACCAAGCUACCAGAGUAACUGUGAGAAGCUCCCACGGCAAUGACUCCCACAUCGCCCAAUUAAGGAACUCAGAAAAAUAUUGUUACCAGCAGCUGGCCUCAAGGACA